rnacentral:rRNA from 1 species
GCAUGGCCGUUCUUAGUUCGUGGAGUGAUCUGUCUGCUUAAUUGCGUAUCAAUAAUAGAGACCUAGUAUACGCGUAGACUCAUGCGGUAGUGACCCCCCUUCACAGGGCGCGUGUCGCACGUAUGUUAUACGCACAGGUCUCCGAUAGCAACGAACGUGACCGUACUCUAUUGUUGCAGCGACAAUACCUUUCAACGGGUAUUACCGCUGCUUAGCAAGAUUCGUCUUGCAUUAAACUAUAGAGACCGCUGUUUCUUCUUUAAACCAGAGGAAGGAUACGGCAAUAACAGGUCUGUGAUGCCCUCAGAUGUUCCGGGCUGCACACGUGCUACAAUGAUCAUUGCACUGUGCAUCUAACCCAAUGUGCGCGGACGCCGCCGUGCGUAUAUACUUUAUUGUGUAUGCGUAUCGUGCGUGCGACCGCGCCAAACCUGCUUCGAAAGUAAACAUUUCCAGCGGGUAAUCCAUUAGAAGUAAUGACUCGCAUAGACCAUGGCACACUAUAUGUACCCGCGGGUUCUACCCGGCUCGCCUUUGUGUGAGUGCAGUGCGUAGCUCGUUGUUUGGUACGUGCCACUCCGUAUUAAUUCAUACGUGGGGAUAGAUCAUUGUUUAAUUGUUGGUCUCGGUCUUAACUAGGAAUGCCUUGUACGGGUCUUUGGUUCAACAUACCACCCGGAAUACGUCCCUGCCCUUUGUACACACCGCCCGUCGCUCUUACCGAUGGAUUAUAC